rnacentral:rRNA from 1 species
GAGCUUGCUCUUAUGAAGUUAGCGGCGGACGGGUGAGUAACACGUGGGUAACCUGCCCAUAAGACUGGGAUAACUCCGGGAAACCGGGGCUAAUACCGGAUAACAUUUUGAACCGCAUGGUUCGAAAUUGAAAGGCGGCUUCGGCUGUCACUUAUGGAUGGACCCGCGUCGCAUUAGCUAGUUGGUGAGGUAACGGCUCACCAAGGCAACGAUGCGUAGCCGACCUGAGAGGGUGAUCGGCCACACUGGGACUGAGACACGGCCCAGACUCCUACGGGAGGCAGCAGUAGGGAAUCUUCCGCAAUGGACGAAAGUCUGACGGAGCAACGCCGCGUGAGUGAUGAAGGCUUUCGGGUCGUAAAACUCUGUUGUUAGGGAAGAACAAGUGCUAGUUGAAUAAGCUGGCACCUUGACGGUACCUAACCAGAAAGCCACGGCUAACUACGUGCCAGCAGCCGCGGUAAUACGUAGGUGUCAAGCGUUAUCCGGAAUUAUUGGGGCGUAAAGCGCGCGCAGGUGGUUUCUUAAGUCUGAUGUGAAAGCCCACGGCUCAACCGUGGAGGGUCAUUGGAAACUGGGAGACUUGAGUGCAGAAGAGGAAAGUGGAAUUCCAUGUGUAGCGGUGAAAUGCGUAGAGAUAUGGAGGAACACCAGUGGCGAAGGCGACUUUCUGGUCUGUAACUGACACUGAGGCGCGAAAGCGUGGGGAGCAAAACAGGAUUAGAUACCCUGGUAGUCCACGCCGUAAACGAUGAGUGCUAAGUGUUAGAGGGUUUCCGCCCUUUAGUGCUGAAGUUAACGCAUUAAGCACUCCGCCUGGGGAGUACGGCCGCAAGGCUGAAACUCAAAGGAAUUGACGGGGGCCCGCACAAGCGGUGGGAGCAUGUGGUUUAUUUCGAAGCAACGCGAAGAACUUUACCAGGUCUUGACAUCCUCUGAAAACCCUAGAGAUAGGGCUUCUCCUUCGGGAGCAGAGUGACAGGUGGUGCAUGGUUGUCGUCAGCUCGUGUCGUGAGAUGUUGGGUUAAGUCCCGCAACGAGCGCAACCCUUGAUCUUAGUUGCCAUCAUUAAGUUGGGCACUCUAAGGUGACUGCCGGUGACAAACCGGAGGAAGGUGGGGAUGACGUCAAAUCAUCAUGCCCCUUAUGACCUGGGCUACACACGUGCUACAAUGGACGGUACAAAGAGCUGCAAGACCGCGAGGUGGAGCUAAUCUCAUAAAACCGUUCUCAGUUCGGAUUGUAGGCUGCAACUCGCCUACAUGAAGCUGGAAUCGCUAGUAAUCGCGGAUCAGCAUGCCGCGGUGAAUACGUUCCCGGGCCUUGUACACACCGCCCGUCACACCACGAGAGUUUGUAACACCCGAAGUCGGUGGGGUA